GGAUGGGAUCCAAAGCCCCAUUGAGGGAUAAUACAGGCUCUCCCUUCCAACUCCUAUUCCGACACGUCCUCGUCGUGCAGAGUGG
rnacentral:ribozyme from 1 species